rnacentral:rRNA from 1 species
GAUGAACGCUAGCUACAGGCUUAACACAUGCAAGUCGAGGGACCGGCGCACGGGUGAGUAACACGUAUCCAACCUGCCCUUUACUCGGGGAUAGCCUUUCGAAAGAAAGAUUAAUACCCGAUAUAAAGGAUGGGGAUGCGUUCCAUUAGGUUGUUGGUGAGGGAACGACCCACCAAGCCUUCGAUGGUUAGGGGUGCGGAGAGGAAGGCCCCCCACAUUGGAGCCGAGACACGGUCUAAACUCGUACGGGAGGCAGGAGUGAGGAACAUUGGUCAAUGGGCGGUAGCCUGACCCAGCCAAGUAGCGUGAAGGAUGAAGGGUUAUGGGUCGUAAACUUCUUUUAUAUAAGAAUCUGUACUAUAUGAAUAAGGAUCGGCUAACUCCGUGCCAGCAGCCGCGGUAAUAC